rnacentral:rRNA from 1 species
UAUUGCGCAAUGGGGGAAACCCUGACGCAGCAACGCCGCGUGAAGGAUGAAGGUUUUCGGAUCGUAAAAUUCUUUGAUUGGUGACGAAUAAUGUCGGUACCCAACAAACAAGCCUCGGCCAACUAUGUGCCUGCAGCCGCGGUAAUACGUAGGUGGCCAGCGUUGUCCGGAAUUACUGGGUGUAAAGUGCGUGUAGGCGGGAGAGUAAGUCAGAUGAGAAAUAAAGUGGCUUAACCACUGGGCUGCAUCUGAAACUGUUUUUCUUGAGUGUCGGAGAGGAAAGUGGAAUUCCCAGUGUAGCGGUGAAAUGCGUAGAUAUUGGGAGGAACGCCAGUGGCGAAGGCGACUUUCUGGACGAUAACUGACGCUGAGGCGCGAAAGCGUGGGGAGCAAACAGG